CAUUGACAGGCAUUAGGGAAUGAAGAGCCUCUUACAGUAAAAUGUUUGAAAUUUAUUCUAAAGGUAAAGAAGAAUUAAAGAAAGUCUUUAAAGCAAGGACAUGUUGUCUAUAUUUUUGAAAGACCCUUCUGGCUGCACCGGAAAGAUGGACUGAGUGAUGGCAGACAGAGGAGAUUUCUGUAAAGAUCCAGUUCUGACACAGGAAAUCCCUUGAUGGCUGAAUUGGGUCCCAGCCCCUAAAUUCAUAUGUUGAAGCCCUAACACCCAGGACCACAGAACGUGACUGUUUUUAGGACUGCGCCUUUAAAGAGAUAUUCAUCGUGCGUGUAUUUUGUGAAAUCGAUCUUGGCUCUGGAGGCACAGUGACUGAGAAAAUCAAAGUCACUGCCUACACAAAGUUAUACUAUAGUGGAAGAAAACAAGGGCUAAGUAAAUAUGAUUCUGUAUGUAAGUCCUGCGGAGAGAGAACACGGUGCCUGGGGGCUGCUGUUAUAUACCGCAAGGAGGUCAGGAGGAGGAUGGGGAAACAGACAACCUCCUUUUUAUUUGUAAAUUAUUGAACCACGAGGAGACAUAUCCAUGGGGAACCAUUGGGGCACUAAGCAUCUACCCGACUUUGAGCUGAAUGCAGUGGGACAGAAGAAACCUGGCUUGGCUCUACUGCGGAGGGUAUGAGCGCGUUUCUGUGUGACAGAAGAAUGAAACAGAUUUCUGGGCAGUGACCAGAAGGGUAAACUGAAAACCAUUCCACGUCUUCUCUUCUCCUUGGGCCCAAAACUAGACUACAUUUUUCACCCUCCCAGCAAUUAGCCAGUGGAAUAUGAAUUGAAGUAAUUUACUUAUACUUUUAGGUCUGACCCAUUAAAAUAUAAAUUGUCC